GGCUGUGUGUGAGUGUAUGUAUUGUGAUGUAUGGACUGUUGGGCUGUGUAUGAGUGUGUGAGUGUAUGUAUUGUGAUGUAUGGGCAGUUGGGCUGUGUAUGAGUGUGUGAGUGUAUGUAUUGUGAUGUAUGGACUGUUGGGCUGUGUAUGAGUGUGUGAGUGUAUGUAUUGUGAUGUAUGGGCAGUUGGGCUGUGUGUGAGUGUAUGUAUUGUGAUGUAUGGGCAGUUGGGCUGUGUGUGAGUGUGUGAGUGUAUGUAUUGUGAUGUAUGGGCAGU